AGAGAAAGUGUUGGAAUUCAAGGAUUUGAUCAAGCAAAGGUGGUGAGCCAUUAGAUACGGAUAAAGGACUGUACCCGCGGACUGAAAAUAAGAGUAUAUCGACUCCUAGAACUGCUCAGGAUAAUUUGUUGAUAGUUGAUUAAGACGAGA